UAGCAAUUGCUGCUGUAGCAGAGGAU
rnacentral:piRNA from 1 species